GGGGGGAUGGUGUAGUGCUAUAUAGCACUUGGCAUGACUACUACUUCGUAGAGUCAGCGGGUUCGAAUCCCGCUCCCCCCA
rnacentral:tRNA from 1 species